rnacentral:rRNA from 1 species
AUUGAACGCUGGCGGCAGGCCUAACACAUGCAAGUCGAACGGUAACAGGAAGAAGCUUGCUUCUUUGCUGACGAGUGGCGGACGGGUGAGUAAUGUCUGGGAAACUGCCUGAUGGAGGGGGAUAACUACUGGAAACGGUAGCUAAUACCGCAUAAUGUCGCAAGACCAAAGAGGGGGACCUUCGGGCCUCUUGCCAUCGGAUGUGCCCAGAUGGGAUUAGCUAGUAGGUGGGGUAACGGCUCACCUAGGCGACGAUCCCUAGCUGGUCUGAGAGGAUGACCAGCCACACUGGAACUGAGACACGGUCCAGACUCCUACGGGAGGCAGCAGUGGGGAAUAUUGCACAAUGGGCGCAAGCCUGAUGCAGCUAUGCCGCGUGUAUGAAGAAGGCCUUCGGGUUGUAAAGUACUUUCCGCGGGGAGGAAGGGAGUAAAGUUAAUACCUUUGCUCAUUGACGUUACCCGCAGAAGAAGCACCGGCUAACUCCGUG